UUCAGCCUAGUCGGAUCACUGGCGCUCCUCGCGCUCCAACGUACUCGCUAUUCAUGCCGGGCCAUGUAAAUAUUUAUAAAAGCCAGCGAACUGCCUCAUGAUGAAGCAAAAAACAACAAUAAACUCUACAACAACAACAGCACGUCGAGAGUUUUUUUCGAAAACAGCAAAGUAAAAACCGCAUAGUUGUUGUUGUUAUGCAGUGUUGAAAGGUCAGGUGCUGAUAAGUCGUGAACACUGAACGUAACAAGACGAGAAACAACAAAAAAAACAACAAUACCAAAAACAACAAUAGCAACUACAACAACAGCAAUAUCAAACAAUAGCAGCACCAACAACAAUGAUGCAACAACAACAAUAGCAACAACAACAAUAGCAAAACCAUCACCACCAGUAGCUGCGCCAACAAGCUAGCAAUUCAACAGUGAUCGCGUCAAAUGUAUGAAUGCUUACAACAACAACAGCAACAACAAUAGCAGUGCCAUACAAAUAGCGAGUCGCUAGCGCUACUUUUGCAUUCAUUCAGCCGUUGAAUUCGUAAACACACUCGGCGCGCACAUACACACAUGGGCACAUGUGCGCCGCGCUUCACGAUCAGUUAAACGGUUAGCAGCAGUGCGCUGUGGAGCGCUGCCCAGCGCCGUCAAGGGGCAAAGCCAACGCCAGCGGCAGGGCAGACACAGGCGCGUGACGCGUUGUGUUGUGUGGCAAGGCUUGGCGAUUUGUUUGGGUAAACAUUCGUACGUAUCACGUACGCUGGCGGGACGUGGCGCGGCGUUGCUGCUUCGGAGUUUCCAUUUGAAGGCUGAAGUUUUGAAGGAUAGCUCAAAGCGGUAUUGCUUAAAAUAUAGUAUAUAUACGAUGUGCGGAAAGCAAUGUAAAGAACUGUGAUUUCACUUGGAAUAUACACCCAAAUGUCACAGUCAAUUAUGGACAGUCUUAUUUGCAGAUCUAGACGUUGGCAUAUACAGAAACAGACUUUUGUUGCAGACAGAAUACGAAAAAGAAAAUAAGUUCUGUAUACUUUGGAAUAUAGCUGAAUGAAUUCAUGUAACGAACUGGAUAAUAACCCUCCACUUUAAGUUACUUGGCUGUCAGAUGUCAGCUGUCAUUUUUUAGUUGUCAGUUGUCAGCUAGCAUUAGCCAGUUGUCAGCUGUCAUUUGUCAGUAGUCAUUUGUUAAUUGUCAGGUGUCAGUUGUCAGCUAGUAUUUGUAAUUUGUCAGCUGUCAUUUGUCAUUUGUAAGCUGUCAUUUGUCAAUAGUCAGGUGUCAGUUGUCAGCUGUCAUUUGUCAGCUGUCAUUUGUAAGCUGUCAUUUGUCAGUAGUCAUUUGUAAAUUGUCAGAUGUCAGUUGUCAGCUGUCAUUUGUCAGUUGUCAGCUGCUGACAGACAACUGGUAGUAAAUCAUAAGCACUUUAGGCGCACUGUGCUUUAUUUUAGAAAUUAUUAAAUGCAAAUUCUUUAUUUUUUGGUAGGAAACCACUUACACUUACUUACAAUGAAAGCUUUUCUAAAUUUAGUCCAACUUUAGUUUACAACUAUUACAACAUUUAUUUUUAACAUACAUACUAUAUAUGACACUAACGGUAUAGUUACACUUUUGUUCCACUGAUAAAAAACUGUCAAUUUGUCAAACUGUCAAAAGUAGUACCCUUCCAAAUGAUUUAAAAAUCAUUUUUUUUUUAUUUUUUUAAUAAUUAUAUAUAAAAUUCCUUUAAUUAUAUUUUGCAAAACUAAGUUUUUUGUUGAAAAUAAUUAUUUAAACUUAACUUUUAAUUUCAACCGUUGAUGCUACAAUCGCGUUUGUUUUAACACAUUCUUUGUUUGAGUUAAAACGGAAAGCAGUUGUUUCAACUUAGCGCUUUCUACUUGUUAAGCGUUGAGUUUAAAAAUUUUGGGAUCGUCCGAUCUCUAUUUGUUGGCCAAUUGCAAAAUUGGAAAAUAUUGAUUAUAUUUAAAACCUUCUCAUGGCAUUUUUCAACUGAAAACAAUUUACUUUUUCAUGAAGAAAUUAUGCAAUAUUAAAUAUUUAAAAUCUUAUAAAAUCAUAACAAACUAAAAAAUAUUUUUUUAAUUAAAAAAUAUAUAUGCUGUACACGUUUCAUACGCAUAAAGUCGCUAACGCCUUUCUUUGGCGCUGAUAAACGCUCGCUAAGUCGAGCGUGUAGUCAGCUCCAGUAUUUAUUAUGGUGGCGCCUUUCCUUUAUGCCAUAAAAUUUUAUGUUUAUCAUUUGUAAAAGGUCGCUAUUAUAAAUUAAUAAAUAUUAUUUUCUAUGUGACUUCCUUCCUUAAGCAGUUUUCUGCUAUAAAAUUACUGUUGACUUGAUUGCUAUUACCUUUUUAAUAUAGUUGAAGAAUUUGUGCUUUCUUCACAAGUGAUGACUCUAUAGAUUUGGAAAUACCUUUGAAAGUUUUGGAGCAGCUUAGUGGCUGUAUAUUUUCAAAAUAUUCAGUAUAUCCUUUGUGCACUGCAAAAGUAAAGAAAAAUAAUAAUUAAAAAUAUUUUGGAAUUAUUAUGAGAAUUGUAUAAGUUAAAAACGUUUAUUUAGUUUUUUAUAAAAAAAAUAUUUUUCGGGAGCUAUGCUCCUUUAUUGAAUUCUGCUUAAGAACUAAAUUUUACAAUUAAUUACACUUAACUCUAAACCUACGUUUGCCGCUGCAACGGGUAUGGAGUUUGCUGACGCUGCGCUUCCCACAGGUUGCCACUACACGUGUCGCACUCUCAGCGACUUAGUUGGUGGCGUGUUCUAUUGCCUUGUAUCAUAUGAUAUUAAUGCAUCAUAUGAUACUUUUUAAAUGUGUGGGGUGCUAACUUAUAUAGUAGAUAGUAGUUACUAAGCAUUUAAUAUGUUCUCAUAAAAAUGCAUAUGCCCGCAAUGAAAAAUAUAUGUUGAAAUAUAUAAAUAAAUAAAUAAAGAUGUGAACUCAAAUUUUGAAUUUUUUUAAAUAAAUAAAUUAUACUUUUUAUAAAGAAA